UUGGUGCCUUCGGGAACUCUGAGACAGGUGCUGCAUGGCUGUCGUCAGCUCGUGUUGUGAAAUGUUGGGUUAAGUCCCGCAACGAGCGCAACCCUUAUCCUUUGUUGCCAGCGGUUAGGCCGGGAACUCAAAGGAGACUGCCAGUGAUAAACUGGAGGAAGGUGGGGAUGACGUCAAGUCAUCAUGGCCCUUACGAGUAGGGCUACACACGUGCUACAAUGGCGCAUACAAAGAGAAGCGACCUCGCGAGAGCAAGCGGACCUCAUAAAGUGCGUCGUAGUCCGGAUUGGAGUCUGCAACUCGACUCCAUGAAGUCGGAAUCGCUAGUAAUCGUAGAUCAGAAUGCUACGGUGAAUACGUUCCCGGGUCUU
rnacentral:rRNA from 1 species